rnacentral:lncRNA from 1 species
UUCUCAAGCAUAUCUAAGUUUUUGAAACUUUAAAUGAUUAUUUUCUAUUAGCUCUUAUUAUGAAAUCUUCAUCUGUUGCUUUAAGAGAUUAUCUACCACUGGGUAUGGUCACAGCAUGCCUGUAACCCCAGAUACUCAGGAGGCCGAGCAGGAGAAUGGCUUGAGCCCAGGAGUUGGAAACCAGCCUGGACAAUAUAGCAAGACCCCAUAUGAAAAAGAUAUUUUUUAAAAAAGAUGCUCUCAAUAAAAUUUGGAAUCUUUCUGGAAAUUACUCUAUGGCACUUUCAGUGUGAGAAUGCAGCAACAAGGUGCCAGCUAUGAAGCAAAGAGCCCUUACCAGACAAUGAAUCUACUGACAACUUGAUCUUGGACUCUUCAGCUUCCCAAACUGGUUACCAACUAUAUCACAUAAUGGUCCUAAGGAUUAAAUGAAAAAAAAUGCAGUAAGAUAAAGCUGAUUUAUCAAGGUUGGGGAAAUGCAAUAAAGAAAGAGGUUAAUAAUUCACAGAGCCAGCUGAAUAGAAUACCAGAGUUUUAUUUCUACACAAAUCAGUCUCCCAGCCAUGGUCCAGGCUUGAGGGUGGAGCCCUCACGAGAGACCUCACCAUUUUCUACCUAGUAUUUCCCUGUCUCCUGUCUAUAUCGCAGAGCAUUAAAUUGAAGCCAAGGGACUGAAAUAAGAAACUCCAGAGAACAACAAGAGGAACUGAAAUUGCAUGGUCAUUAGAAGGCAUCUUAAGAAUAACUGUGUAGCAGAGAAUGAGGACUCAUAUCAAAGUUUGAUUCUUUUAGUAUUGGAUUUUAUGUUCUGAAGGUUAGGACUGAACGUCUCCUGGAGCCAUUAUGCAGCCUACCACACUUGCUAUAUCUUCCAGAAUUUUGGAGGAAGUAAUUCAUUCUGUCAGCUUCCGGCUGGAAAAUGUUAUCAUGUGUCACCUCAAUAUGUGUCAUCUCUGGUAAUUAUUGAAAAGGCUAUUACAUUUGGUCAUUUA